rnacentral:rRNA from 1 species
UACGUAGGGGGCUAGCGUUGUCCGGAAUCAUUGGGCGUAAAGGGAGCGUAGGCGGAUAGUUUAGUCAGAGGUGAAAGCCCAGGGCUCAACCUUGGAAUUGCCUUUGAUACUGGCUAUCUUGAGUACGGAAGAGGUAUGUGGAACUCCGAGUGUAGAGGUGAAAUUCGUAGAUAUUCGGAAGAACACCAGUGGCGAAGGCGACAUACUGGUCCGUUACUGACGCUGAGGCUCGAAAGCGUGGGGAGCAAACAGG